AUUGAACGCUGGCGGCAGGCCUAACACAUGCAAGUCGAGCGGACGAAGGGAGCUUGUUCCUGGAUUCAGUGGCGGACGGGUGAGUAAUGCCUAGGAAUCUGCCUUGUAGUGGGGGAUAACGUAAGGAAGCGGGCGCUAAUACCGCAUACGUCCUGAGGGAGAAAGUGGUGGCUCUUCGGAAUUAACGCUAUUAGCUUAGACUAGGUCGUAUUAGCUAGUUGGUGGGGGAAAGGCAUAACAAGGCGACGUUCCGUAACUGGUCUGAGAGGAUGAUCUGUCACACUGGAACUGAGACACGGUCCAGACUCCUACGGGAGGCAGCAGUGGGGAAUAUUGGACAAUGGGCGAAAGCCUGAUCCAGCCAUGCCGCGUGUGUGAAGAAGGUCUUCGGAUUGUAAAGCACUUUAAGUUGGGAGGAAGGACAGUAAGUUAAAACCUUGCUGUUUUGACGUUACCAACAGAAUAAGCACCGGCUAACUUCGUG
rnacentral:rRNA from 1 species